AUGGGUAGAAUCAAUGUCAACCCUAUUUGGGGGAAGAUUUGGAAAUUGUCUUGUCCGGCAAAGGUAAAAAUCUUUAUUUGGCGUACGUUACAUGGUACACUCCCAUGUGGCGUUACACUGGCCAAUAGACACAUCAAGGUCACGCCUAUAUGCCCCUCAUGCACAAAUGAACAGGAAGACACGAAACACGUAUUGUUCCUCUGUCAGAAGGCAAAAGAGGUUUGGAAAAAACUGGGGUUGUGGGGAGUGAUUAAAGAAGCAUGUGUUGUUGAUAGGGCAGGAGAAGCAAUCCUUGAAUUUUUACAUCUGAAGCCAGAAAAUGAAAUAGCUACUCUAGGAAUCCAGAAUGUACGUGAACUAAUAGCUAUAACCGCUUGGUAUUUAUGGUGGGAUAGA
rnacentral:rRNA from 1 species